rnacentral:rRNA from 1 species
UACGGAGGGUGCAAGCGUUAUCCGGAUUCACUGGGUUUAAAGGGUGCGUAGGUGGGCAAGUAAGUCAGUGGUGAAAUCUCCGGGCUUAACCCGGAAACUGCCAUUGAUACUAUUUGUCUUGAAUACUGUGGAGGUCAGCGGAAUAUGUCAUGUAGCGGUGAAAUGCUUAGAUAUGACAUAGAACACCAAUUGCGAAGGCAGCCCACUAAGCAAUGAUUGACGCUGAGGCACGAAAGCGUGGGGAUCAAACAGG